AAAGAGAGGGAUGACGUGGCCUCCCCUCAAGCUUUUAUUAUUAUUAUUUUUAUUUCGACAAAUUUAACACCUUCCUCUCCAAUUUCUUUCUUUUUAAUCUCCUUCGAUGAGCAAUGUGAUAGAUAUAACUAUAUAAUUUCGACAUAAUUUUUGCGGAUUCUGAUCUUACUGUAUGAAUAAUAUCAGGUAUCCAUUUAAAGUCUUUUUCAAUAUUAUCGUCAAUAAUAACACUCGGUACAUAUCGUCACUGAUUAUUGUUUCGGUACAGGUCUAUUGAAUGUCUUCUUUUAUUCGUAACCUUAUUUUUUUUUAUGUAUUUUUUUUCCCUGAGAAGUUCUUUUUUGUGGCCGAGAGAUGUUGCACGUAGCCAUGCCAUGGAAAAAUUAAAAAAAUAAAUGUUCGAGUUCAAACAUUUUUAUACUGGACCAAAUUUGAUUUUUGGCUGCCCAAGAUCAGUGUGCCAGGUGGUCUCCAGCCGCAAAUUGGACCCGACUAGCACAUUAUUUUGUGCCCAGCUGGUGGUUAUAUGUGGUACACACGGGGAAGGAUCGAUGCCCGACUUUCCAAUUUGUCUUCUAAUCAAUAACGUGAGGCUACAAUGACCGACGAUCGAGAAAUGAGUGAGGACUCGAUCUUGGAUCCUGAAUUCAAGGUUUGGAAUGAGUCGGGCUUGGGCACUCAACCGAAAGCUCUGGAAUCUGAUGAUGAGAGAUAUUGAGUGAAGGGUUUGAUUUUGAUGAAUCUAGUCACGAGGAAGUAAAGGUACAAGAAUUUGAAGUGCAUAGAGUGAAAGUAAAGUGCUGAUUAGCCUUAGCCAAUCUUCAAUCUGGCUAAUCUCCAUCUAACAUUGUAUCGCAACAUCGUUAGAACUUGUUGUGCAACAAGCAAUGUAGUCAGCAAAGUAAUUUUCUUUAGCUGGCUGAGUUUUAUGAUUACAAUUGAAUGUUUUUUA